GGUGAUUAGCUCAGCUGGGAGAGCACCUCCCUUACAAGGAGGGGGUCGGCGGUUCGA
rnacentral:tRNA from 1 species